UCUUGAAGAAGAACCAAAGCCCUUACUGCAGCCUUUCUUUUCCCUGCGUUGGAUGAAGGAAGGGAAGGGGAGGAGGCCGCCAAGGCUUCUUCUUCUUUUCUUCUUGCUUGCGGAUGAAACAAGGAGAGGGGAGAGGGUGGCUACGGCUGGGAGGAGAGGAGAUCAAUGCUUAGGGCGUCAGCCCCCUUUUCACCUCUUUAUAAAGCAUCUAGGGCUCCUACAACUUAGGAGCCCUAGACUAGUUUCCUAAGAGGGGGCGCCGGCCCCCUCUCUUCAUGCCGCACCAAGGAAGCAAAAAGGGGAGGGGCUUGCGCCCCUCCCUCUUGGUAAACCCUAAUCCACAUUUAGUAGGGUUUGGAAUGCCCUAAUGUGGUCAAGCCCAAAUCCAAUUAGGCGUAGCCUAAGGGUGAACCAAUUUGGAUCCAAUCUAGGUAAGUCCUAAUCCAAUUAGAACUUAAAUCAAUUUUGACUCAAUUGAACUCUUCAAUCCUAAUCCAAUUAGGAGUCUUAUUGAUUUAUUAGAUUAAUAAUUAAUUGUGACUUAAGAAAU
rnacentral:lncRNA from 1 species